GAGGGUGUAGUUCAGUGGUAGAGUGCGUGCUUAGCAUGCAUGAGGUCCUGGGCUCAAGCCACAGUGCCUCCA
rnacentral:tRNA from 1 species